AUUGUUUCCAGUAACAUCCUGUUAUUGUCUUUUCAGGUGCUCACCUGAGAGUGUGUGAUGAGGAGGUGUCACCAGCCUCUGGAAGAGAGCUGAGCAUCAGUCAUAAACCACAUCCUGCAUCUGAGUGUGAAGGUGUGAUCUGGACACGCCCCCUGCUGGCUCAGCUGGGAACCAGCAGUCUUAUUACACAGCUCAACACUGCCCUCUACUGGAGAAUCUCAGCAGUGACCACACAGAGAGGAAUUCUUCUAGAUCAGGAGACGGUCUCUGAUCACCGCAGCGAGCAGCUUCUGUCUGAAUAAAUCUUUAAGAUCCUGAAACCCAGACAUCUUCCACACAUUCAAGAGUCAAAUGAUGAAAAGAAAAUUAAACACUCUGUCGUUUUGGAACCCAACGAGGAUGAAAAACAGAUCGGUCUGGGAGUGUUGGUCUGCUAAAUAAUGCCUUGUUUUCUUUCUUUCUUUCUUUCUUUCUUUCUUUCUUUCUUUCUUUCUUUCUUUCUUUCUUUCUUUCCAUGGCUGGAUUGUGGAUCUCUGAGUAUGUCCAGACCUCAGAGUCUGAAGGUGUUGAUGAAGUAGUGUCUGGCUGUGCCUGUGGAGGGAGGACAUAUUCAGACAUCUUGAGAAAACUAUAACAGAGUAGAGGAGAGCUGCCACCUGAUGCUGCUGGAUGUGGUCUCAGAGCCUGAACAUGCAAAGACAUUUUGAUGUCAAACACUUAUUUUCCUGCUCUUAAGCUGGACAUCAAGAGAUUUAUUUGAAGUAGAAAUGUCUUUAUGGUUCAAAGGAAUCACAAAAUGUAUUGAUUAACUCAUUGGUUAAAUGUAAAGACAAAUGCCUGCUGCUUCCUCCUUGAAGUUCACUUUCUGGAGACAUUUAGACUUCAGCAUCAAUGUAUCAGGUAAUGUUGGAGAGCAGUUUUACAUGAAGUAGGCUGUGAAAGGAGAUUUGAUCUGUCUGUGUCUGCUGCUGGGUCAUGUCACGUCGAACCAUCAAGCCUCGUGAGACUCAGAAAUGUGCUGUCACAUGUUGUUUGUAUGUUUGGUCAAAACAUUAGGUCCUGUGUACAAGUAUUGAUUUUGAGGUACAAUUCUCAAACCCGCCACAAGGGGGCAGCACCGCCCCCGGUUCAGCCGGCUGUAUGACGUCAGUGUUACGUCCUCUGCGUCGGUCUGGCAGAUGCUCGAGACCUGUUGGGAACCAAAACCCACUCACCUGUUUUCCUUUCAUGUUUACAGACAGAGUUCAGAAAUGAUGACUGACAAACGGACCAAACCAACAUCCAUGUAUGAGUCUUCAGCACAGCACCAUCCUGUCACAGAUAUAACGUUCACAUCAGGCCACUGUGGCUGCCUCAGUUAUUAUGAAGUUAUUAUUAUCAUCCAUGGUGAUAAUGCUCGACUCUAAAUACAAGCUUAUGACAAAAUAUAACAGCUCAAGGUUUGUUGAAAGAACGUAUGUCUUAUUUCCAUUUAAAAUCAGAUUUUAACCUCACCAUGUAUCGUAGCAAUGUUACCUGUAUUUACAGAGAAAUGACAAGCAUCACAGUCACUAUUAAAUCAAACACAUCCUCCUGUCUGUGACCAGACUCAGGUGAUAUAUCUGAGUCUGUUGAAAUGAACCAAAUAAACAGCAGUGUUCAUGAUUCA